GCCCGGAGUACCGGGAAGGUGCUUGAGCCCUGGCUCUGCCUGUCAUCGGUGAGUCACCUUUGGCGAGCCACCUCCGCCUCCCAGAAAUCAAGCCUACGUCAAGCACGGCAAUACAUCUAAAUUGGUUGAUUAAAGCAUCAGGAAGAAAGUGGUGCUUUGCGGCAAUUAAACCAAAGCCACGGGAA